AAGAAUGAAAAUAAGAUGCAUUGGCUACGAUGGGAUGUGAUGACAUCGCCAAAAGGAGAGGGUGGCAUUGGGUAUAAGGGCCUACAUACUUUCAAUCUUGCGAUGCUCGCAAAGCAAGCAUGGAGGAUCCUCUCCAACCCAGUGUCGCCGUGCGCACAAGUCUUGAAGGCGAAGUACUACCCAAAUACUGAAGUUCUUAAGGCUGAAAUCAAGUCAGGAGCAUCUUACGCUUGGCGGAGUAUUAUGUAGGGUGUUGAGGUCCUUAAGGAGGGGGUCAUAAGAAGGAUUGGCAAUGGUAUGGAUACUAAUAUUUGGUCUGAUCCUUGGUUCCCUAGAGAUGGGUGUCGCCGUCCAAUCACACCGAGAGGGAACACUGUCAUACGAAACGUAUCUGACCUGAUUGAUCCAGUGACUGGACAGUGUGAUGUUGCAUUGGUCGAAGAGGUGCUCUGGAGAAUUGAUGCUCAGUGUGUUCUGGCCCUUCCACUGCAUGAUGAUUUUGAGGAUGAUUGGGCGUGGCACUAUGAUGAUAUGGGUGUGUUCAGUGUCAAGACUGGUUACAAAUUUCUACGGCAAAUGCAACUGAUGGCGAGUGAACGGCAAAUCGGUGAACCAAUCUCCAGAGAUCAAAGCAUUAACUGGAAGAGUAUAUGGAAGCUUAAAUGCCUUCCCAAAAUGCAACAUUUUCUAUGGAGGCUUGCAUAUAACAUCCUACCUCACCGGUGGAGCAUCCAGCAGCGUGGGGUUGAUUUGGAACCUGUCUGCCCAGUUUGUCAAAGGCUGAAUGAGGAUGGGGCUCAUACCUUCCUCCAGUGCAAAAAAUGCUAG
rnacentral:rRNA from 1 species